GACGAACGCUGGCGGCGUGCCUAAUACAUGCAAGUCGAGCGAGGGAGCACCUUCGGGUGUGAACUAGCGGCGGACGGGUGAGUAACACGUGGCAACCUGCCUUACAGAGGGGGAUAGCCUUCCGAAAGGAAGAUUAAUACCGCAUAUUAUGUAUUUUUCUGCAUGGAAAAGUCAUGAAAGGAGCAAUCCGCUGUAAGAUGGGCCCGCGGCGCAUUAGCUAGUUGGUGAGGUAAGGGCUCACCAAGGCCACGAUGCAUAGCCGACCUGAGAGGGUGAUCGGCCACACUGGGACUGAGACACGGCCCAG
rnacentral:rRNA from 1 species